CCUACGGGAGGCAGCAGUAGGGAAUAUUGCUCAAUGGGGGAAACCCUGAAGCAGCAACGCCGCGUGGAGGAUGACGGUUUUCGGAUUGUAAACCCCUUUUGUUAGAGAAGAUAAUGACGGUACCUAACGAAUAAUCACCGGCGAACUCCGUGCCAGCAGCCGCGGUAAUACGGAGGGUGCAAGCGUUAGUCGGAAGCACUGGGCGUAAAGAGGGCGUAGGCGGGAUAGCAAGUCAGAUGUGAAAUCCCAUGGCUUAACCAUAGAACUGCAUUUGAAACUGUAAUUCUAGAGUAUGGGAGAGGUAGGUGGAAUUCUUGGUGUAGGGGUGAAAUCCGUAGAGAUCAAGAGGAAUACUCAUGGCGAAGGCGGCCUGCUAGAACAUAACUGACGCUGAUGCGCGAAAGCGUGGGGAGCAAACAGGAUUAGAUACCCGAGUAGUC
rnacentral:rRNA from 1 species